UGCAAGGUCUGUUUGCCAGCCUCAAUGAAGUGCUGCAGCCUCAGCUGUGAUGCAGCAUGUUAAUGGUACAGGUGUCAGUGGCUGUGCUACGUGAAGCUUUAGAGUGGUUGUAGAGUUAAUUUUGCAGUUUUGGAGAUGACAUUCCUGCCACUUUGAGAAUUUGGGGAAACGAGUACGAUGAUCCUCUUUCCUUUGGUCUCAAAGGUGUGUGAUACUACGUGGUAAAAGCAAAAGAAACUGGUCAGGCUCCUGCGUUAAGAAUAAUGCAUGCCUGCCAGUAGCUAUCAUUAAAACUGUCAGUUUUUAAUGCCACAUCUUACCCAGUUUGCUGCUAGGAGUGACUUCUGUAACCUGACAUCUCUUCUCCAUCUGUUCCCGGAACUGUUGCUGUAGCUGCUUUUGGCGCAAUUUCCGCUGAGACCUCCAAAAGAGGCAUUUCUCCAGGGUGUUGGUUACCUCGGAAGGUUCACUGUUUAACCUAGUACUUCAGAGGGCAGAGUAACUGCAGCUCCUUCCUUGCAAACUGAAACCUAAAGAACUCACUAAAAUGUAGAGAACAGUUCUGCCUGCUGAUCACCGGUUGACAUACAGGCUGUCACCUUGAGAGACUUCAGGACUAAAUGAAAUUGUCCUGAUUUUGCAGAAAUGCACACAGGAGCUUUAUCUGUUUGAAGGAUAUUUGUAAACCUGCAGCACACUCGCUGAAUGGGCCCGAGAUACUGUGUCUUCUACAAAAUGGAGCAUGAUUUACAAGAUAUCAUUCUCAGCCUACAGUUAAUAACUUCAAUAUAUGCUCUUGUCGACUGCUGAUAUAUUCUGGACCCAGUUUCUGACGAAGAGCAUGCUGGAUAGCUUGAUACUCACUUGCUGUAUAUUGACACUUGAUGAAAACAAAGACAAAAUUUCUCAUUCCCUCCGUAUUAGCUCCCCCUCUUCUCCUCAUUUCAAUUCUUAAUUCCAUUUUUUCCAAAUCCUGUCCUUUCAAGAGGUGUAUGAUCCAUUUUUAGAAUCAGGGUGUAACUGACAAGUUGGGGUGUGUGUAUACACUUGUGCAUUAUAUUGUUUGUUUUUUUUUUCUUUUUUUUUCCCUUAUUCUUGAGGUCACAUGUAUACAAGCACUAAUUAUUAAACCGUAGCAUUUUUUUUCCAUUUUUCAUAAGCAUCACUUAUAUUAGAAGAACUUAAAUGAGACAGGUCUGUUAGUGUCCUAUCAAAAUCUUAAUGUGGUCAUUGUCGUAGUCAUGGCUGCCUAACAUAAGCAUACAAGUAUAUGUUUGUACAUACCUCUCAAAAAUAAAAUAUAAUUCUUCAUAGUAAAAGUAUCUCUAAAAACUCCAACAAAGCAACGUUUAACCUUACUCUAUCACCAUAUUCCAUCAAAGUCAAAGAGGACAGCAGCUCAGGCAACCAAACUAGAAAUGUAUUGAGUUGUGUUCGGCAUAUUCCCCUAGUGCAGGGAAGGAUAACUCCAGCAUCACUGGUAUCAUUAGGAAGCCCAGAGUGUUGUAACUUUUGCUGCAUGUGUUAGCAGAAAUACAGUUUACAUUCUGCAAAGGUUAGAGAGGCCUAAUUGCAUGUUUAAGGAUUCAAACAUGAUAAAGCUAGUGCUGCUACGCUACACUGUGGGACAGAACAAAGAUUUCACCACCUGUAUCAUAAGUAUUGUGUAUUCACAUAUUGGCUGCCUCAUCACUCAGUAGAACAGUAUUUGACAGUAUGUAUGUGCCAUUUAGUUCUAGUGCCUGCCAAACCUCACACAUUUAUCUUUGAUUCUGUUUAACUUAAGGGAAUAACUUGGUCUUUUUCUGGUACUAGAAUGUGAACUUGUUACUAGAAGAUGUAAGGAAAAAUGGAGAAUGUACAUGCACAUUAAGAAACUACAUAUAAAUGCCUAUUGUGGGGAAGGGAAUUCACUGCCAAAAAGGAAAAUUGAUUAUUGUACAUUUUUCCCCAAUUUAUUUAUUUUAAGUAGGUGAAUGAAAACAAUUUACUUUUCCGAACCAGUACUGAGAAUGUGUGUGAACAUCAGCCAAGCCAUCUCCAAUACAAGAGAAUAAAAUGAGCCAUUUUAUGGCACAGCAUCCAACUUUAAAAGGAGGAAAUAAAUAUGUAGAGCAGGUUUCCAGAAGUGCAAGCACAGAACUUCCACUUUCCUCUCAGGACAAAGGAACUGACCUGUCCAAAGUGAGCAACUGAAUUGCUAGUGCUGGAAGUGCUGCUGAUGUGGCUUUCGCUGUCUUUCCCUUGACUUUCAGGCAUCCCUGAAAAUAAAAGAAAAUACAAACACUGAAAAUAACAGGACCAACAGUCCAUACGAAGACAUGUCAAAAAGGUGUUGAAGUCCAAUGCCCAGCAAGCGUUGAGUCCACUGCAAUAGAUUAGACAUUAAUAUUAUAAUUCUCACUCCAUGGAACUUCUGCAGGACCAAUUAGAAAUUGUGAUGUUUUGUAACAGUUAAAAUUCUUCUUCUUAUAUAUGUUAUGCUAUGUAGGCAAAAAUAGCUAGCUUCAUCCGAGAAGCAGAGGUGCUGCUCUGGUCCUUCAUUAAAAACAAUGAGGGUGAGCUUGAAUUGAAUUAAAUGAUUAUUUUAUUUAAAGAACAAAUGUAUUAUUUUUGCUAGUAAAAUAAAUAAGUAAAAAUUCCACAGCAUCUGGAUCUCAUAUAAGAUCAGACUAGAACAACACCAGCAAAAUAUUUUGAGUCAUUAUUCUAAAUAUGAAACUGGUAACAUAUAUAUGUAUAUAUAUAUUUUUUUCCUUUUAGAUAAGCGUGAAUGCAUUGUACCAUUCUAGGUAAGGAAAACCAAAACAUCUCACUCUUUCAGAUCCUUCAGCACUGUCUUCCUACAUUGCUUUCAGUAUUCACCAAUACUUUGAUAAAAAGCAGGAAGAACUUUCUAAAACUGUACUUGUCCAUACCCUGACUUGUUCAUCUCCAUUUUAGAUUGUUUUGACUAUAACUGCCUUGGGUUAUGGUGGUAUCACAUAAACCAGAGAG